rnacentral:tRNA from 1 species
GGCCGGUUAGCUCAGUGGUUUGAGCGCGGUGCUAACAACGACAACACUGAGGACAACACCGAGGUCGCGGGUUCAAUUCCCGCUCGGUCC